rnacentral:rRNA from 1 species
CGGGAAAAGCAGGGGCACCUGGUGGAGCACGACGUUGGUGUCGACGACGAGGAUGGCGGCGGCGUCGGCGUUGAGGCGGCGCGCGGCCGCGUCGCAGGAGGAGCAGGAGAAGGCGCCGCAGGGGAUGUCGUCGCGGAGGUAGUGCUCCCGGACCACCUGCGCAGAUGGGGGGGAGGGGGUUAG